rnacentral:rRNA from 1 species
UACGAGAGGCCCAAACGUUAUUCGGAAUUACUGGGCUUAAAGAGUUCGUAGGCGGCGCGGAAAGUGGGGUGUGAAAGCCCUCGGCUUAACCGAGGAAUUGCGCUCCAAACUACCGUGCUUGAGGAAGCUAGAGGUGAGCAGAACUGAUGGUGGAGCGGUGAAAUGCGUUGAUAUCAUCAGGAAUACCGGAGGCGAAGGCGGCUCACUGGGGCUUUUCUGACGCUGAGGAACGAAAGCCAGGGUAGCGAACGGG